CAGACACUUGGGCCAGGAGGACCCCUGUUCAUUCUUAUAGGCAAAAUUACCCCAGGGACCAGGUAAAAAGUGAUACUCUUUAUGAAGUGCUAUUGGAGUAAGACUUAAUCUGCUUUGCUGGACUAUGUUAUGACCAGACAAUACCAGAAAACACUUGCAUUAGCAACACUCAUGAGCCUCUGAGUCACUCUACUGUUUAUGAUAAAUGAAGUGUCCUGAAUUUCUCUGCCUGAGAACAUCCUCUGACUACAGAGUGUGGUAGGUCCAAGAGGUACAGGCCAGAGAUGUGAGAGAAUUAAUACCACAGGAGUGACUCUCAACUAAUAAGGAUGGGAGCUGGUGGAUAUAUAUCCCAGUCUUGUGGUUGUUACUGGGCCAGUUCUGAGCAAUGUUCUGUACAGCUUCCUAGAGGAUCUCAGUGGGGCUGAGCCCAGAUUCCCACCAUGGUAAUCUGCUCAUUCACACACACUGGCUUCCUUCCCUCUUUGUUUUACUUCCCUUUCCUUCACUGUUCUUCCUGGGAUCACUUCCCAAAUAAACCACUUGCACUCAAAUUCUUGUCUCCGUCUGCUAAGCCAAACUAAGAGAACGAUUUUUUUUUCCUAUGUAGCAUACAGAAACACACUUCCCAAGUUAAAGUAGAUUUUUAAAAGGCUGUAUCAUGUAAUGUUUUGUCACCAGUGAGACUAGUGAGUUGGGAAAUGUAAUGGAAUUAGAAAAAACCCUGGGAAAGAAGGUGGUGAUAAGUGUUGGUUGCCAGUGACCAGAAGAAUCAAAUUUCUGCUAACAUUCUCAGUUCUUCCAAACCCACUUCUCUUCAUCCUUCACUGACAAUUUGGAUGCAUACUGAAGAGGGCAUGAUGAAAAUCUCUGACCUGGUUUUGCAGUCAUGAGAGGUUUGGAGAGCGGCAAUUAAGAUCUAAACAUUUACUUGAUGUUUCAGUGAAGAAUUUCAACUUUAUGAGCCCCUUAACCAAAGGAAGAUUAGCUCUGAGCUAACUGCUGCCAAUCCUCCUCGUUUUGCUGAGGAAGACUGGGCCAGAGCUAACAUCCGUGCCCAUCUUCCUCUACUUUAUACGUGGGACACCUACCACAGCAUGGCAUGCCAAGCAGUGCCAUGUCCGCACCCAGGAUCCGAAUCUGCAAACCCAAGGCCACCGAAGCAGAACCUGCGCACUUAACUGCUGCAUCACCGGGCUGGCCCCUAAAAUGUGAUUUUCAUACGCUUCAUGCAGUAC
rnacentral:lncRNA from 1 species